rnacentral:rRNA from 1 species
AUGGGAACGCGAAGAACCUUACCCAGACUUGACAUCUCCUGAAUAGUGUAGAGAUACAUGAAGCCCUUCGGGGCAGGAAGACAGGUGGUGCAUGGUUGUCGUCAGCUCGUGUCGUGAGAUGUUGGGUUAAGUCCCGCAACGAGCGCAACCCUUAUUACUAGUUGCUACCAUUAAGUUGAGCACUCUAGUGAGACUGCCCGGGUUAACCGGGAGGAAGGCGGGGAUGACGUCAAAUCAUCAUGCCCCUUAUGUCUAGGGCAACACACGUGCUACAAUGGUGAGUACAGAUAGAUGCGAUACCGCAAGGUGGAGCCAAACUCUAAAACUCAUCCCAGUUCGGAUUGUAGGCUGCAACUCGCCUACAUGAAGUUGGAGUUGCUAGUAAUCGCGAAUCAGAAUGUCGCGGUGAAUACGUUCCCGGGUCUUGUACACACCG